AUUUCGACUGAAAGGCGACCCAGGUGAGUGCGGCGACCCAAGGUAUGAGUUAGAUUGCGUUAACAACGCCACUCUCUUAUUAACCUUUUCCUCGGCAAAAUACCUUGUACGAGAGAUCGAUUACAAGGGAUACAAAAUCGUUCUUAGAGACCCAGGUCAGGACGAGGACGCUAAUUGCUCUUUCAUCCCUCGCAAUUUCUUAUCGGCUUCGGUUUUCUCAUAUCAUUUCGGAUCGGAGCCUUUCAGUUGGGAAUACUGGUAUACUGUUGGAAUAGGAUACUUCAACUGCUUGAAUCCUGUGAGUGACGAUCCACGAUAUGUUAAGGUGGACAGGAGUGGAUGUGGCAGCGGAGGGCACGUGUACGCCGUAUUAGGAUCUUCGUAUGAUGUUGGUGUGAAGGACAUCAAGGUUGGAUGCGAUCUGAUGGUGGCUACGGUUUGGACACCGAAACAGAAUGUUACCUACCACAAGUAUGAUGAGUCUGACAGCUGGGAGGUUGAAGUGCUUGAAGGAAUAUCGGAGCGGAAUGUUACAUAUGAUGAUAUCCAACGCAAAAUAAGUGAGGGAUUUUGGUUGUCGUGGUUGUCCAUUGUUUGCGAGGAUAGAUGUGGAAGGGGGACAGAGUGUCUGCAUAUCAAUGAAUCCAGCGGAGAAGUCUUUUGUAAGAACCAUUACUGUCAUUACGCUUACCACACCACCCAAAAGUGCGGUAAUAUUAUCCACUCUAUCCUUUUAUUAUUCAUUAUUAUUGCUAAAACAAUAAUGAUACUACCGAAGAUCCUUCUCUUGUUCUGCUAUGCUGAUUAAAGGUUGUCUUAUCGUUAAAACAAAAUUCAUGUGCGUCAUUAAAUACUAUAAUGUUAAUUUUCUUACAAUUGUCAUUUUUACUUAUACAAACAAGCUAUCAAUUGCUUCUCUAAGUAAGUUUGUUCAUUAAUUUUCUAAAUUUCAUAUUAACAAUAAUCUUUGCUUGUGUUUCAGAACCUUGGCAAAAGGUUUUGGGCUAUAUUCGAGGUAAGUAAUUAUUUCUGUCUUUAUUUUUAAAUAUCUUACAAAUUAGAUUAUUUUUAGAUGAGUUUAUAUUAUAGUUCUAUUUAUUAACGCGUUUCUUUUUUUCUAAAAACGAAUUGACUAACGAAUAAACCAAGAAUAACUAAAAAAAAAAACACAAUACGUUGAUUGACGAGUUGAAGAUAGAAAAAAAAAAUUAUAAUCACGUAACUAACGAAUUAUAGUUCUUUUAUUUAUCUUUCUCAAGUCUAAUACUGAGCUCUUUCGUUUUUUAAAGUUCGUUUUAUACAAGUGUGCCAUAUUUUGGAUUGACACGAUAUUUAUUCUCUUAUAUUUUUUAUUUGCAGCUUAUCUUAGAGGCAUUAUUUAUGGUAAGAUCCUUCUUCGUGAUUCCUAAAAUUUGAAUCACAUCAUAUUACAAGUUUCAUUAGUUUAUGUUUUUGAACGAAGUCAUGAAUUACACCGGAGCAUGUUGUUAGUUCUUACUCAUAGGGCGAUAUAUUUGUAGGAAUAGGUAGCAGAAUAACAUUGAGUACGAAACAAUUGGACAACCCUGUUGGACUGCAAUAUUUUGAUGAAGGAAUAUUCAUAGGACGACAAAUUAUACCAAUAUUUUUGGUAGGCAGAUAUCUGUUUGGAGUUGUACUUAUUCUUGUGUUAUUCAUCUGCAAAUGGCGACGAAGACAUUCUUCAAUAUAUGAAAAUAUUGAAAAUUUCUUGCUUGAUAGUCAUCUAAAUCCCAUCAGGUACGAAUACAACGAAAUAGAAAAAAUGACCAAAGGUUUCAAAGUGAAAUUGGGUCAAGGAGGCUUUGGUGCNNNNNNNNNNNNNNNNNNNNNNNNNNNNNNNNNNNNNNNNNNNNNNNNNNNNNNNNNNNNNNNNNNNNNNNNNNNNNNNNNNNNNNNNNNNNNNNNNNNNNNNNNNNNNNNNNNNNNNNNNNNNNNNNNNNNNNNNNNNNNNNNNNNNNNNNNNNNNNNNNNNNNNNNNNNNNNNNNNNNNNNNNNNNNNNNNNNNNNNNNNNNNNNNNNNNNNNNNNNNNNNNNNNNNNNNNNNNNNNNNNNNNNNNNNNNNNNNNNNNNNNNNNNNNNNNNNNNNNNNNNNNNNNNNNNNNNNNNNNNNNNNNNNNNNNNNNNNNNNNNNNNNNNNNNNNNNNNNNNNNNNNNNNNNNNNNNNNNNNNNNNNNNNNNNNNNNNNNNNNNNNNNNNNNNNNNNNNNNNNNNNNNNNNNNNNNNNNNNNNNNNNNNNNNNNNNNNNNNNNNNNNNNNNNNNNNNNNNNNNAAUAUGGGUGGAGUAACCUAUAAAGCUGAUGUGUACAGUUUUGGAAUGCUUUUGAUGGAAAUGACAAGUAAGAGAAGGAACUCAAAUCCUGAUGCCGAACAUUCAAGUCAAAAUUAUUUUCCUUUCUGGAUUUAUGAUCAAUUUCAAAAAGAGAAAAACAUUGACAUGCAAGAUGCUUCAGAAGAAGAGAAUAUUCUAGUUAAAAAAAUGUUCUUAAUUGCACUUUGGUGUAUUCAAUUAAAUCCAAGUGAUCGUCCUUCAAUGAACAAGGUAUUAGAAAUGCUUGAAGGGGUGAUUGAAAGCCUUGAAUUGCCUCCAAAGCCUUCCUUUUACAAUAUUGAAGCAUACGAACAUGAUGAUAUUAGCUCUGAUGUCACUGAGUACACUUAUUCUACUAGUCAGCAUGAUGAAAGCAUAACAUCGGAUUCACCAAAGAAUAUUGAAAGUUGAUGGGAGUAAUGAAUUAAUGUUAUAGGUUGGUCCUUGUAUAAAUUUAUUUGGUAGUGUAUACAAUUAUAGUUUUUCAUGUGUAAUAAGACAAUUAUAGUUUUUCUUAUUGUAAAAGUAGUAAGGUCUUUUUUUAAGCCAUAUCAAAAUCAUUUCCUUUACUUUUAUUCUAUUUUAGUGCUUGAUAAAAAAAAACAUAGAAAAAUAGUUCCUUCUUUAAGGUUUUCUUAAUAAUUGUUUUUUUCUUUCAAGGAGAGGGUAUUAUUGUUGCUUUCUUAAAUAUAAAAGCAAAUGGUAUUGUAAUUUUAUUUCAUAACAAAAUUGCAUCAUUGCUUAUUGUUAGUUUUGUUAGUUUUGCUUAUUUCAUUUUUGUUUACUAAGAAAGUGGUUUAGAACUUGAUUUUCUUACCAGUUCUACUCAUUAAUGCUGGAAUAAUGUUGUGAAAAAAAAUCCUAGUAUGCUCUAUGACGUGAAUGCAACUAAUUUGGCAUAAAAAAUAUAUUCUUAUUACUAGAUAUACCUCUAUGAACGAAAUGCUACAAUGAUUACCGUCACGCUGGAAGCCACCCCAACCACGCAUGUAACAGAAUAUGAAGUUUGGAAUUGAAUACCAAGGUUGUUCUUAAUGGGAAUUGAAUAUGACGAGUGGGAACCCAAUACGCCUUCUUCGCAAAUUUGUUCACAUCCUGAAUAUGAAAGUUGAGAAUUGAAUACGAAGAUGUUGAGAAGUUUGGGAACCGAAUAUGGGUUCUUUCGAAAUUCUUCAUCUUCUGGAACCGAAUAUUGCUGCAAGGUAACCGAAUACAUCUUCAGUUCUUUCUCUUCAAAUACUUCGAAUUGGUCUUCAUCUUCAACCAUCACCCAUCAACGUCAUUUAACAUAGACAAUCCAACUUUGUCUUCCUUAUCUACAACCUACAACGUCAAUAAACUUUGGUGUUUCUAUUAUACAACAAAGAAAUUGUUUUUUUCAUACUCAAAAUCCAUUUUUAUGUCAGCCAAGACUCGAGUUGGAAUAACAUAAUGUGCAAAGGGUGAAGUAGACAUUAUAUGGUAAAUCCUUGCAAAUUUCUACACUUUAGCUGGGUGAUGAAAAAUUCCCCAAUCCCACAAAUCCGCACCUUUCCUUCCUCGCAUUUAGGCUAAAGUGAACACACAUUUUCUCGCAUUUCAUCGCUCUCAAAUACGCAUGAACAGUUCUUUCUGUUCAAGUGAACACAAACUUAGUGGUUAUGAAGAAAACACUUAGUAUUUCAGUGUAUCAAUUAAUGGUUUACCACUAUUUCUUAACAACUUACUUGGUGUACUAAUUCAUUAUGUUCAUUUUUUUUUUUUGUUUUUAUUUGUUGUUUCUAUUAUUAAUUUGUUAUUUCUAAAUUUGUUUUUUUUAUUUCUUUUUAUUUUUUAUUUUAUUUACAAAUUAUGUUUUUAAUUUGCUUUUUUCUUAUUCUAUUUUUUAAUUUUUUAAUAUUUCUAUUUCCAUUUUUAUUUAAUGUUUUUGUUUUUAAUUUACUCUUUCUGAUUAUGUAUGUUUUUAACUUUUCCUUUCUAUUUUCAUUUUUCUAUUUAUAUUUUUUCUGUUUAUUUCUAUUUUUAAAAUGUGUUGUUUAUGAUUCUAGUUUAAAUUUUUCUGUUUCUUAUUUAAAAUUUUCUAUUUCUUUUUUUUUAAUUUUUUUUACUCAAUUUUUAAUUUUUCUGUUUUUAAUUUUUGUUUUUUCUAUUUUUAUUUUUAAUUUUUUUGUUUAUGCAAUUUUAAAUGUGCUGAGUUUCUAUUUCUGUUUUUGUUUCUAUUUAUGUUUUCAAUUUUUUUUUUGUUCUUGUUUCUAUUUUUAAUUUUGUUAUUUCUAUAUUUUACAUUUAAUUUUUCUAUUUCUAUUUUGGAUUUUGAUGUUUUUUAUUUUUUUAUUUUUUGUUUUACAUUUUCUAUUUCUAUUUUUAUUUUUAAUUAUGUUGUUGUUUUGCUCACAUAAAAAUUAACAAGUAUCACUGGUGCAGAAACGGGUUAUAACGUCACGCGGUCAAUGUCUCACCGCCCAAUUCGCAACGUUGAAAAUGAAUGGUGGCCUUACCGUAAAUUAAUUCAAUCGCUCCACGUCCUCUAUUGAAACCGUUCGCCGACUAAUAUUUAUUAACAACAAACAAAGUUCAUAUAGACGUAAUCUAAAAUGUGCUAACGUCAAACAAGGGCUAGAACAACGUAAAACAGUGACCUUAGAAACACUUAACAUCAUUUUGAGAAACAACUAACGUUCAAUUUAAAAUAAAAAAAAAUAAUGAAAUACUGGUUUGCUUCCAGCAAUAUCACUCUACCCACAGAUAGUGAAUCCAUUUUUUAUUCUUUAUUUCUUUUCUCUUUUAAACCAGACAGAACGUCGCCCACUUUAUGGUUUCGACGUAUAUACCAAUGUAGAACGUCGAUCAAUUUGGAGUCUGACGUGAUAGUCCUUAGUGUACGAAACCUAGGUAAUCACAUAACUUCAGUUAAGGAAGCAAUUGACAUUCAAUACAAAAUAAAUAAAUACAAAAUUUUGUUUUAAAUAAUAUGACGUCACAUUAACAAAAGAUGGACGUUGUAUAUUACAACUAGUAGUUAUUCUUUUAUUUUUCUUUUAAAUCAACCAAUAAAACGUCAAUUUAAACUGUCUACAACGUUUUAUUAUUUAGUUCCUUUUUUUUAUUAUUUUUUUCGUUCAAAACAACUAUAUAACGUCAAAUUGAUCUAUGCAUUUGACGUCUACUCAAUUGUGUUUUAGUGUAGUUUUGUGCGUGUUUUUCGGUAGCCUGAUACCACUUUCUUCCUUUGCUAGUUUCUCCAUAAGAAAAACUUGCGUCUUUUGUAUCUCUAAUGGUAUUUCAACUCAAAACCGAACAUGGGUCGUUGCCUAGAUGUCAUGCAAACCGCCAAUGAAAAAGAAUACGGUGACAUGAGAACUAGGCAAGACCCAGGUUUGGUUUUGGUUGAAAUAUCAUAAGAGACCAAAAGACGCAAGCUUUUCUUACUAGGAAACUACUAAAGGGAGAAGGUAUUAAUACGCUACCAAAAGACACGAGCAAAACUGCACCAAAACACAAUGAAAACUCAUUUUAAUCGGUUCAAAUGGAAGAUAAUCCAUCAAAGACUAAUUUAACCGGAGUAAAAGUAAGUUUGAACGAUUCAAAAGAGAUAAAACACAGAUGAAAAUGCAAUGCCGCAUAGAAAAAAGGCGAGGAGGAAGACGAUGAAGUGUGUGUAACCACGGGUUUGCGAUUUUUGAUUUAAUAGGAAAAAAAAUAGUAAGAACAUAAGUGCUUUUUCAAAAUCUAUAGAACCCUUGGAACUGCUUUUAUAACUUGAUGUUUCUUGAUUAUAUGAUUCAAUUUUUAGGUUUCAAAAAGUUGUUUUCUACCGAAUUAGUGGAUUUGAUUUCGGAGAGAACAACUUUUUGGAACUAAAAUAUGAAUUAAUAACAAUCAAAUUGUGGAAUUGUAUAGAGUUAAGCAUUAUAUUUAUAGAGUCAAUAUCAAUGCUCACAACCACUCUGGUAAUAAGACAAAAUUAAUCACAACCACUCAAAUGCCUUUCACGUCGAAGCCCCCUAAAGUUUGACGUUCUAUGGGAAUUUAAAAAGGAAGAAAGAAAAAGAAGAGUGACCUUUGCCUUCUAAUAACAAAUAAUACGUCAUAUGCACAAGGAAUUCAUUUUUUUAUUAAAAGAAAAAAGAAUAUAACCAAAAAGACACUUUGGAAGUCUAAAGAAAUUGACGUCAACUUCUUCGUUUCUAGCAAUAAACUGCAUUUUCCCAUAUAUGAUUUAAGUAGACUGCCUUUAAUAAUUGAAGCCCGUAUCAACCCUUUCCCAACAUUAAUUAUUUAAAUAGACAUGAAUUUAUAAAAUUGCUUGUAACAACCGUUGUGUUAACUUGUAACAAAUCCAAGGCCUUUCAAAACGCUACAACUUCAAAUCAUAAAAUUCAUAAACUCCUUCUAGGAAUUAAUAGAGGACGUUGAAUAUUCGAGGUAAGUAAUUUUCACAGUCCACAUCUAGUAUGAACGUCAAAUAUUUUCCAAAUUCGGCGUUCAAACAUCAUUUAGAGAAAAUGUAGAAAAUCUCUUUGGAUGCUGAUAUAACCUCCUUGCAGGUGAAAAUUACGUCGAAGAUAUAUGAUCCUUGACGUUAAAGUGAGAGUUUAAAAGAAAAAAAGUAAAAUUCGACAUAAUAUUGGUGCUUUGGAAAAGGCACACAAUUAAUUUUCACAGUUCGCAUCUAGUAUGAAUGUCAAAUAUUUUCCAAAUUUGACGUUCAAACAUCAUUCAGAGAAAAAGUAAAAAAUCUCUUUAGAUACUGGUAUGACCUUCUUGUUACUAAUAUGACCUCCUUGCUGACGAAAAAUACGUCAAAGAAAUAGGAUUUUUGACGUGUCUUCAUCCUUGAAGCAUCAUCCCUUUGUGGUUUUCACAAGGCCAAGGGAAGUCAAGGUGUUUCGAUUUAUCACAUUUGAGUAGUUACAAGAGCAUUUCUUUUCAUCACUAACAUCCACAACUUGAAGGGUCAGGACUUGGCUAAUAAACACAACAUAUGGUUCCUGCAUCAAUCAUAUGAUCUUUUAUUACUUCCACCCAAUUGGUGGGAACAUCAUGUUAGGAAACAGGUAGGCUUCUUUUUACACCAAGAGGGGGGAGGGGUGAAUUGGUGUUAGUUCAAAUUCAAAAUCUUUUCGCAAUCUUGGUAUGAAAAUUCAAAGCUUUUGAUCUUUCCUUGAAAUGCAAGUAAUGAAAAUUCAAUGCUGCGGAAAAACGCAGUUGACUGCUAAACGAAUGUAGUCGAAUAGAAUCAUCCAUUUUGUUGCGGAAAACCCAUUUUGUACCAAUUACUUGUAGAUCAGGUUUUCUGGGUAAAAGCUCCCACACAUUGUUCCUUGUGAACUGAUUCAGUUCCUCUUGCAUUACAAUCAUCCAAUUCUCAUCACUCAAAGCCUCCUCAACUUUCUUGGGUUCAAUUUUGGACACAAAGGCAACGUUCAUGCAAUACCGGUUUAGUUGUCUUCUUGUAGAUACUCCUCUUGAUAUGUCACCAAUCAAAUUUUCAAGUGAUACAUUUCUUGGCACUUUCCAUGUUUUAAUCGCCUCAACUUUAGGAGAUUCGACUUGCUCAGCCUCAUCUUCUUUCUCAGUAGCUUCUUCAAGACCCUCUUCAUCAACUGUGUUCUCAUCUUCUUCAACAGAGUUCAUGACUUGUUUAGAAUGAUUUGGAUUCAUGAUGAACUCAUCAAAUGCAACAUGAAUAGAUUCCUCCACAUUCAUAGUUCUCUUAUUGUAUACUCGGUAUGCCUUGUUGUUCAAGGAAUAUCCUAUGAAAAUUGCUUCAUCAGCUUUAGAGUCAAACUUUCCAAGAAUUUAUUUGCCAUUAUUCAAUACAAAGCAUUUGCUUCCAAAGAUUCUCAAGUGUGAAAUAUUUGGCUUUCUUCCUCUCAGCAAUUCAUAUGGUGUUAGUUUCAAUAUAGACCUGAUGAUUGUCCUGUUCAGUACAUAACAAGUUAUGCUCACUGCAUCUGCCCAGAAAUAUUUUGGAAUGUCCCUAUCAUUCAGCAUUGAUCUAGCUAAUUCUUCAAGUGCUCUGUUUUUUCUUUCCACCACUUCAUUUUGCUGUGGUGUUCUAGGUGCAGAAAAGUUGUGUAUUAUUCCCAUUUCAGCCAGAUAAUCAUCAAAAUCCUUAUUUUGAAAUUCUCCUCCAUGAUCACUUCGGAUAGCCUUGAUCUUAAGAUCCAUUUCGUUCUGAAUGGCAGCAGCAAAUUGCUUGAAGACUUUAAGUGCAUCAUUCUUAGCUACAAUGAAAUAAGUCCAAGUAUAUCUUGAAUAGUCAUCUACAAUAACUAGCCUGUAUGAAUUUCCUCCAAGACUCUUUGUUCUGGAUGGUCCAAAUAGAUCCAUGUGAAGCAAUUGCAGAGGUUUCUUGGUUGACAUUUCACUCUUACUCUUGAACGACUGUUUGGUUAGCUUCCCUCUUUGACAAGCAUCACAUAAUCUUUCAGUUUUAAAUUGGAUCUUGAGCAGACCAUUUACCAGUUUCUUAGAGACAAGCUUAUUCAGUUGACUCAUACUUAUGUGAGCUAAUCUCUUGAUGUGAGCUAAUCUCUUGUGCCAUAGCCACACAUCUUCUUCUUUGGUCAUCAGGCAUACAACAAAUUCGAAUGCAUUAUCCAUGAAGUCGAUUAAGUAGAUGUUGUUCACCCUUUUUCCCACAAGCAAUAACUCAUUUGUUGUGCCAUUGCUGAUCAGACAGUAUUUGGGUUCGAAGGUUAUCUUCAAUCCUUUGUCGCAUAGCUGACUGAUGCUGAGCAGAUUGUGCUUUAACCCUUCAACAAGCAAAACGUUUUUUAUUUCAUAAGAUGAAUGAGCUUUUAUUUUACCUAUACCGAUGAUUCUUCCUUUGUUGUUAUCACCGUACGUGACAUGGCCUACAACUUUAUAUGAGAUGUUUGAGAAUUUUGUAGGAUCUCCAGUCAUAUCUCUCGAACACCCGUUGUCAAGGUACCAUGUAGGACUUUUGAAUUGUUGUUCAAUAUCAGGUUUGAUUACCCUGGAUUUUGCCAUCAUGAUCAGUUCUUCUUUAUUCUUGACUUUCUUGGCAUCAACAGAAUGAUCUUGAUUAUUCGUUUUUCUCAAGAACUUUGUAAACUUGCUCCUUAACAAGAUUGAUUUCUGCAUCUUUGAACAUGAUUCUUCAUCACUGGUUACCUUGCAUUCCAAGUUACCUGUUUCAAAGUUUUCAAAGAAUCCAUUGAUAACAAAUUAAAAUACCGUUAUUUGAUAUAUGAUUUUGAUACUAAAAGCACCUUUUUUGACUUAGAAAUAAACAUAUUGUGAACCAUAUUUCUUUAUCCUAAGCACUUCCCUUUCAGUAAGAUAACUAAACCAUUAAUGUACUAUAAAAUCAUUUUGUUGACUUCAAUUUCAAAGGCCACCUUCAUAUGAACUAGGCCCUGAAUGCGACACUUCAAAAUUCAAGUCAACAAAUUGCAAUUUGAAGAACAUAGAUGUUUUGAAAUCUAAGUAAAGAAAAACGCUCAGGAGAUGAAAAACAUGAAUCCAAAUAUGUUCAAUAUGGAAACAGAACGAAUUGCAUUACAAAGAGAAGCACAUCUAUAUUUAGAGAUGAAACGGUGUCGUCUAAAUAUUUUAGUUCUAGAAAAUGUUUCAGAAUUAAACAUAUUGUGAACCAUAUUUCUUUUUCCUUGCCAUUUCACUUCUAGUAAGAUAACUUAAUCAUUUUUGUACUAUAAAAAGCAUUUUGUUGACUUCAAUUUUAAAGGCCACCUUCAUAUGAUCUUAGGCCUGAAUGUGACACUUUGAAAUUCAAGUGAGCAAAUUGAAAUUUAAAGAACAAAUAUGAUACAAAAUUUAAGAGAAGUACAAUGAAAAAGAGAUAAAAAAAACAUGACUCCUAAUAUGUUCAAUACGGAAACAGGAAGCAAGGCAUUAAAUGAAAUGCAAGCCAUAUUUAUAUAUGAACCGAUGACAGACAUUAAAUCGUGUAAUUAUGGUUAGUAACUAGAAUGAACGUCGAUUAACAUCCCAAUUCGUUGUUCAAACAUCAUUCACUGAAAAAGUAAAAAAUCACAAAAAUAUACUGAUAAUAAUUGUAAAAAAUAUCUUUGGAUACUGGUAAAAGCACACAAUUAAUGGUCCCACUGAUAACGGUUCAAAAACCGUUAUUUUCAUACUUAAAUUUGACAUCAAACACACCCUUUGUGACUUAGAAUUAGCUUGAAAUCAUGUAAUUUGCUUAAGUUAGGGAAUAAGAGAGUCAAAUUAGGUUUUAUUGGUUUUAUGCUUGGUUUUCCUUUAAUUUGGCAAGAUUUAUCAGGAGUUGAAUGAAGGAAGUCAAGUAAGAGAAGAUUUGGAUGCAAGAGAAGGUAGAAAAGUGAAGAAAAGAAGAGUCACAACCACCGCUGGGAGGUGUACUUUCCAAUUAAUUUUCUGCCAGGUGUUUAAGCAGUACCGCUAAGGGGUGAAGUGGAGUAUCGCACUCACCGUAGGGCGGUGGACUCUUCAGGGGAUUCUCUGGCCAACGCUCAAGCGGAAACUCUGAGGGUUGAACUUAAGUCACGCACCCACCGCCGGGCGGUGAACCCACCACUAGGCGAUGUACUACUGGGCCUAGGCCAAAAUUUUGCUAUUUUUAUAAGUUAUAAAUAGACCUAGACGAACCAGAAGGGGUAUCUUUUGGCAGAAAAGGACGCAAAAACACUCUCUUCACCCCUCAAAGGCGGAUUUUGGAUGCAGGAGCUCCAACUUAUCAAAUCUAGGGUUAUCUUUUUUGAUAUCAUGGUUGAUUUGAUUAUCCAUCUAGUCAGAGAAAUUUGAAUAUGUGGGCCGGUUUUCUUGAGGUGGAUGUACCCGAUUGAAAGAUACAUGAGGAUCUUAAAGGGAUAUGUUAAGAAUCAAUUGAGACCGGAAGCUUCAAUUAUAGAGCGCUACAUUAUAGAGGAAGCCAUUGAAUUUUGCUCAAGUUAUAUGCCAUGUUGUGAACCAAUAGGACUUCAAAAGAAAACACAUGAACACAGACGUGAAGGAAAGGGAGUUCGAGGAGUAAGGAUUAAAGUGUUAGUGUAAAAUAAGUUAAUCAAGCAAAUUUGUACGUUUUAAACAACAUAGAGGAUGUUAUUCCUUACAUUUCACAACACAUUGAUAAAAUUAAGUGAGCACAUCCACGUAUGAGUGAAAAGUGGACACUUAAUGAACAUAACAAAUCCUUUUUAGCUUGGUUUAAGAAAAAAAUCUAUGCCACUCCGAAUGUUUCUAAAAAUCUAUUCAGACUAGCUCAUGGACCUAACACUGAUGUGAUCACUUUAGGCGACUAUUACAUAAACAAUUACUUAUUCUAUUCAAAGGAGGAAGACGAUAAAAGUAGAAUUCAAAAUAGUGGAGUUACCCUACAAGUUGAGGCUGUACACUUUUCCAGUUCUAAGGAUAGGAAUCCAAUUACAACAUCAAUAAGUUAUUUUGGAAUAAUACAAGAAAUUUGGGAAAUUGAUUAUGCCACUUUUAGAGUUCCAAUUUUCAAGUGUAAAUGGGUUGAUAGUAAAUCUGGUGCCGUGACAGAAGACCUCAGAUUCACUUUGGUGGAUCUUAACAAAAUGAGUUACACGGAUGAACCAUUUAUUAUGACUAGUCAAGCAAGACAAAUAUUUUAUGACAUUGACCCAGUGAAUCAUAAAUGGUCAGUGGUAUAGGAAGGUAGAGCCAUGCACACAACUGAUGAUGAAGACUCUCUAGAUAUACUUGAGACAAGCUCCUUUUCAUCGAGAACCAUUGAAAAUAAGGUUGAUGAUGUACCCGAUGAAAUACAUGCAACUCGAUGUGAUCACAACGAAGGCAUGUGGGAGAAAUAGGUAAGUAUUACAUUCAUUCUUAUCAAUUCAUUGAUAUUAAUAUAUUAACUUAUGUUUCUAAUAUUUCAAAUGUUUCAAAUUUGUUUAGAGUUCUAACUAGGACCAGAGGACAACAAAUUGAGAUUAUAUAUCCUAAGGUUGGAAUUCGUUGAUCUUUUAACCUUUAAUUUUCAUAGUCAAUUUUAAACCCAUUACAUUUGACUAAGUUCUUUCACAUGUUUAGUGUAAUAAGCAUACUGAUUCCUGAGCAUGUGGCUACUACAUCAUGUCAUGGAUGAAGACAAUCAUCCGAGCAGGAAUCGGAGGAGAUUGGACUGUGGUAGAAAUUUACAUUUGAAAAUCUUAGAAAUAUCAAUAAACUUUUGAUAUUAAAAUGAAUAUAAUUGUAAAGUUUCCUUCCUUGAUUUUGCAGCAAUUCAACACCACCUAUUCAUUGUCCAAUGAAGUAAUAAAGAUGAUAAGAGAAGAAUGGGCAGGAUAUUUGAAUAAACAUUUUAAAUAACUAUAGUUUUAGGUUUUUCCUUUCAUGAUAGUAGCAUUUGCUUACUUGUGCAACUUUUUGACUAUGAAUAGAUGUAUAUUGUCAAUAGAUUAUUUAGAAUAGAUGAAUAUUGUGAAUGGAUGAAUGUUGUGAAUAGAUGAAUGGAAAAGUGGGUUCUUUUAAGUUUUGAUGAUAGCAUUAGUUUCUUUUACUUUUACAAUUUAAUUGGAAUUGAUGAAUUGAUGAUAACAUGGUUUAAAUUAAUUAGGUGCAUUUAUGAAUUGGAAAUGGUUUCUGUAUUUCAGGUUUGAUUAAAUGAACUAAAACGAACCGAAUUGAUAAAAAAAGUAUUGAAGGUAACGUCAAAUUAUAAAUUGUUCGACGUUAGCAUAUGCAUCUCAAUGUCGAUCAAAGCGAUGAGUGACAUUCAAAUAAUGUAGUGGAUAACGAUAAUAAUACAACGCUUGGCAAGGAUCUCUACGGAUUGGCGCUAGUAACUUCAACUGUCAACAUGUUCGAUGUCAACCUUACAUCAAUCACCUUAUAAUCGACGUCAAAUAUUCCUUUAAAUAAAAAUUUUUAUUCAAAAAUUGACGUCAAAUUUUUCACUUCGACGUGAAACUUACGUCCAAUAUCUUUUAAUCGACGUCAAAAAUUACGUAAUUCUCCCGAACAUUUGACGAAAAAUCAUUCUUUAAAAAUAAAUAUUUAUUCAAAUAUUGGACGUUAAACUCUAUUCUAUUUGACGUACCUUAACAUUGAUAUGCCUAAAAGACGUUAACCUUACGUCAAGUAUCUAUAUAUUCGACGUAAAGAAGCCUGAGUAACGUCACCUGGUAAUAUUCGACGUAAGUUUACCCCUUCGGCUAUAACGUCGCCAACAAAUGCAUCGUUAAAGGCUAAAAAUAACCGACGUAAUAGGCUGUUUUUGAACUAGUGCUCCCCUUCAUCACCAUGACCACCAUCAUCAUCAAUUUCAAUACAAACACCUAGAUGGUGAGAUGCUUCAACUUUCUCAACUUCAUUUCCAGGUUCUUCAUCCCCUACAACUCCUUCAUUAAAGGCACCCACAGGGUGUUCUUCAACUCCUCCACCAACUUCUUCAUCAGCUCCAUCUGCAGGUGCUUCAUGACCUCCAGCAACACCUUCUUCAUAUAAGAAAAUCUAGGUUCUUCAUUAAAGAUUUGAAAUUGACGAAUUUCAAUUAACUCCCUCACCAACGAACCAAUCUUUGCAUUCAAGGUUAUCAUUUCUUUAUUAUUUUUCUUCAAUCUCUCGUCGGCAGCUGCUUUCCAAGUGCCAUCAUCGGAGGUAUCAUCAUCUGAUUCAUCACCUCUCGAUCAUUUCGACAAUGCUCCUAAACCCAUCCCUCCAUCAAACAGUUCGAAAGUAUCUUUGAUUUCGGUCCUAUUACGAUCAUGCUUCCAAAUAUACCACUCCAAAUUUAACUACAACAAACACAAACAAAUAAAUUAGUUGGUGAACACCAUAAUAAUUAUAAAAAUCACAGAACAAACCAUGAAAGACUUACAUCUCCAUUUUGAAACACCUCUUCGAUUUUUUGGAACCUAGACUUAUAGGGGAACCAACGCAAUAUGCGAGGGAACCUCCUAUGAGAUGAAUGACCAUGCAAAGACAGUCUUUCUACCGCCAAAGCCUACAAUAUGAAAAUAAAUAUAUUAGCCAUAUUUUACAAUGUAGACCAUUCCAUUGAGUUAAACAACUAUAAAUCAUUUUACCUGCAAUACGACCACAUUGCCACUAAGACUCAGUGAGCUAGCAAUACGUCCGAACAUUAUUUUUUUCAUACAUUUAUUCAAAUUAUCUACAUUGUGUUUAUGUACACCGCUGCCCUCAAUCAAAUAAACACAAACUAUUUAUGUCAUCCAACACUACAGAAGACAUGUUAACAACAAUCCUAGACUUCCUAGGAAAAAACACAACCAAACACACUAAUAUAUACAACCAGAACACAACAUCAACCUCAAUGUUUUCGUCCAACACAAUGACAUUAAACAUGUCAACCAACUCCUUCAAAGUUGUGGUCUUUGAAUUAAACAUUUCCCCAUCAAACCAACUAAACAUUCAUCAAAUAGGACUAAGUACAUGCAAACACCACCUAAAUGGUGUCAUUCUAAUUCAAUGUACAUGAACGUCUCUCAGUAAGCGAUUCAUUUGAGCAAUGGUUGAAGAAUCGAUCGAGAUUCGAACUCGCCACUACACAACAUUAGAAAAAACAUUGCUAUUAAUUAACAAUGAGAGGAUAUAAAAUACACUACAAAAAAAAAACCAAAACUUCAUCUUAGUUUUGGGUUUUGGGCUGCCAUUGGACUUGCACUUAUAUAAUAAACUACAAAUAAUGGUGGAGAAGACUGUUAGGGUUGGCACAACACCAAAAAAACAAUGCUCCAAAACAUGGAUAGGGUUCACCAAUUUCUAAUUACCAAAAAAAAGCGAUAAGGACGUCAAUGAAGGGACAGGGCACAAUGCAAAAAAUGAGAGCAAUAUGCCAGCAAGAGAGAGAAAGGUAAGCAAAGGACAAAGAGAGACCAAACGAGAGAGGAGAACAAGCAAGACAAAGGAGAGCAAGCGAGAGAGACGAGUGUUUGAGAGAGCAAACGAGAGAGACGAGUGUUUGGAAGAGAUGACACAACGCGAAACUGAAAGAGGGAUGAAGCGCGAAACGAAUUUUCAUAUUUUCUCGUGUCCAAAAUUACCCUCACAUGACUAUUUCAGUGUUUUUUUUUUCUUCUUAAAACCAAUCAACAGACAAACACCACGUGACGUUAUUAAAUAAUUAAAAAAGUUAUUAAAGAAACCUUUUCGUUUUCAAAUAGUAAUUUGGAAUUUACUUUGGAAAAUAUGGUAUGGGAAAAAGUAAAAACAGUGCUAACAAGGAUAAAAGUGGACGAGAAAAGUGGACGGAGGGAGGGGCACCUUUUAAUUAAAAAAGCAAGGCAAUAAUUAAAGGAAGAAGGGAGAACAUUUUUCUCAUUAGCACAAUUUGAAGGAUGGAAAACGAAGGCUGGAGUAGGUGUUCUUUCUGUGCAGGUACUCUGGUAUCAAUAUUGGCUACAAUUAUUCUCCUACUGCAACCUGAUAACUGCCUCGCUAAGCGACACCCACCAUGUCCUACUUCAUCAUGCGGCCAAAUUCGCAACAUAAGUUACCCAUUUAGGCUGAAAGGCGACCCAGGUCUGUGCGGCGACCCAAGGUAUGAGUUAGAUUGCGUUAACAACGCUACUCUCUUAUUAACCUUUUCCUCGGCAAAAUACCUUGUACGAGAGAUCGACUACAAGGGAUACAAAAUCGUUCUUAGAGACCCAGGUCAGGACGAGGACGCUAAUUGCUCUUUCAUCCCUCGCUAUUUCUUAUCGGCUCCGGUUGUC
rnacentral:lncRNA from 1 species